UACGUAGGGUGUGAGCGUUAAUCGGAAUUACUGGGCGUAAAGUGUGCGCAGGCGGCCGCGCAAGUCGAGUGUGAAAGCCCCGAGCCUUAACUUGGGAAUUGCGCUCGAAACUACGUGGCUGGAGUGUGGCAGAGGGAAGGUGGAAUUCCACGUGUAGCGGUGAAAUGCGUAGAGGAUGAUGGAGGAACACCAAUGGCGAAGGCAGCCUUCUAGGGC
rnacentral:rRNA from 1 species